rnacentral:rRNA from 1 species
UACGGGGGGGGCAAGCGUUGUUCGGAAUUACUGGGCGUAAAGGGCUCGUAGGUGGCCAACUAAGUCAGACGUGAAAUCCCUCGGCUUAACCGGGGAACUGCGUCUGAUACUGGAUGGCUUGAGUUUGGGAGAGGGACGCGGAAUUCCAGGUGUAGCGGUGAAAUGCGUAGAUAUCUGGAGGAACACCGGUGGCGAAGGCAGCUCGCUGGAACGGUACUGACGCUGAGGCGCGAAAGCGUGGGGAGCGAACAGG